rnacentral:rRNA from 1 species
GCAUAUCAAAUAAGCGGAGGAAAAGAAACCAACAGGGAUUGCCUUAGUAACGGCGAGUGAAGCGGCAAAAGCUCAAAUUUGAAAUCUGGCACCUUCGGUGUCCGAGUUGUAAUUUGAAGAAGGUAACUUUGGAGUUGGCUCUUGUCUAUGUUCCUUGGAACAGGACGUCACAGAGGGUGAGAAUCCCGUGCGAUGAGAUGCCCAAUUCUAUGUAAAGUGCUUUCGAAGAGUCGAGUUGUUUGGGAAUGCAGCUCUAAGUGGGUGGUAAAUUCCAUCUAAAGCUAAAUAUUGGCGAGAGACCGAUAGCGAACAAGUACAGUGAUGGAAAGAUGAAAAGAACUUUGAAAAGAGAGUGAAAAAGUACGUGAAAUUGUUGAAAGGGAAGGGCUUGAGAUCAGACUUGGUAUUUUGCGAUCCUUUCCUUCUUGGUUGGGUUCCUCGCAGCUUACUGGGCCAGCAUCGGUUUGGAUGGUAGGAUAAUGACUAAGGAAUGUGGCUCUACUUCGGUGGAGUGUUAUAGCCUUGGUUGAUACUGCCUGUCUAGACCGAGGACUGCGUCUUUUGACUAGGAUGUUGGCAUAAUGAUCUUAAGCCACCCGUCUUGAAACCACGGACC